UAGAAGGUAGUAUAUUGGUAGUAUUGGAAGUUUUGAUCUUUCAGGUUCAAGUUCGAGUCUUGACUUUCUAG
rnacentral:tRNA from 1 species